ensembl:miRNA Mir466f-1 microRNA 466f-1
CAUGUGUGUUUACGUGUGUGUGCAUGUGCAUGUGUGUAUAUGAAUAUACAUACACAUACACACACACAUACACACACAUGCAACACACACAUAU